rnacentral:lncRNA from 1 species
ACCAAUGGCGGCGACCCACGUCAUCCGCGCCCGGGCUAUUCUUAGAUCGUCCUUCCCGCUAAUUACGGCCCGGGAGACGGCCGAUGGCGGCGGCCCAGUAACGUUAAUUAACGUUAACUGGUUCGGGCAUUCCACCGAUAUUAGUCGGUACGGGCUACCGCUGGCCGGCCCGCCUGACCGGGCACCGCUCUUUUCGCCCCUUACUGCCCGCUGGACCCGGAGCCGGCCGCCUGCCAGGUUAGUUGCGCCGCAUCUGCCGUACCAGGUUUAAACCUCCGACCGGGGACGGUCUCGGAUCGGGUAGGGAGGUGUUUGCACGGGGGUAAAGGCGAGGAAGCGGCCGGACCAUCGCUCGGAUCUUCUUCCCCUACCAUCGACCAGUUUGGAGGCCGUCGACGUCACCUCCGCUCGAGUCUGGAGCGCGGCCAAAAGCGCCAUUCUCGCGUUAAGUGGUUAAAGACGGAAGUCAUUGGGUGGAUCGGGCCGGAGCGGGACCGUCGGCUGGGCCCGCCUGGCCUACUGACGAUGACCGUCACCUUUAUUAUUACCGUAGCGGAAUUAUCUAUUCCGCCGCCGAUAACGAAAUUUAGUGAAGCGCGGAUGAAAAUCUCAGGUAGGAAAUUAAGGCUGGCACCAGCCAGGUGGCCAGAACCCGACUACGUUUGGGACGGGAGCCGACGGUUCCCAUUCCCAUUUCUAGGUUAAUUUACCGCGCCGGCCCUUCCAAUUUGGGUUGGAAGGCCGGCUAGAUUAACCGGCGGUCCGCGGUGCCCGAUCAUUUUUCCCGGCAUCUAAGGUCUACCGUCCGCCACACGCGCUUCUCGUAGCGGAAACCACCUCGGGCAUUCGGGAAGCCCGUCCCUACCGUGCCACAAAAUUAAGUAAUCAGCUUCCGGUAGUCGGUAGUCCGACCGGAAGAAAUAAUAUCGGCGCAGUUUUUACCGAUAUUAUCUACGAUACCGAUAGGAUUGGGAGCGGUGGUGGAAGCGUCCGUAUAGCUGGACAGCCGAUACCCACGGUGCCCAAAGUGAUACCAAUCUCGGUACCGGUUUAGGGCCGGUCGCAGCACUUUCGAUUUAAUCGGAAGAUUAGCUAGGGUAGAUUAACUUUAAUCCGUUGGAAAACCUAUGGGUUAAGUGGAGAGUGUGGCGGUGGG